AUGCAAUUCGGCUCCAUUUCAAUAUCGAGGAAAACGUUCAAAACGCACUCGUUGACUGAGCCCCAUAUAACGCAGUUCAAUUUCAUUGAUAUUUACCAGAUCAGAAGUCGCCACUUGCUCCGUCAUGUUAUCGAUCUCGUAAAGCAGACGAUUCAUACCGGGAACUCGUGUAAUUUGUCUACUUCUACCAGUAAGUGGUCUACGUCAUCAAAUUGACUAUUCUGCCACGUCAUCGCCUAUGUAUGUUGUUUCUUUAAAUUAAUUUGUAUUUUAUUCAUAUCUUUAGUUGUGCUAAUUUUUUAUAGCAAUGAAAAACAAAAAUCAAACAAAUGCAUUUCGUUAUAUAUAAUGCUUCUGUGGAAAAUCCCGUUCUAUAAAUAGCGCUAAAAUUAGAACAGGGAAGACGCACUCCAGAGAAAAGUAGUCCCGCGUGCUUAGUGCAGAUGAACUCCGAACGAAAUUUUGACAGAGAAAUCAAACGAAUUUUUCAACCAAUCAGCAUCGUUUAUAAGUCAUCACUUUAAAAGUUAUUAAAUGAUUUCUUUUUUAUCGGCUGCAUCGCUUGCAAUUUACGAUGAAAAGUUUUAUAUAUAACAUUAUAUAUUAUUAUUACCCUAAAUUUAGUAGAUAGACGUUAGUGGUUAUGUCAGAUGCGGGAGAAAAAAAACAUGUUCAUAGAUCCACCACUUACUCUUUAGUAUGGUGACGUCAGAUUUUGUAUGAUGACGUCAAACAAAGACCGAUGAGAUAAUUUGACCCCUACCGUUUAGAAGCAACUCUAUCAAGGUCUCAUCUUUCGCAUCGUUACGGUGAACUGGGAAUAAAGUUCAUUUAUCGGCUAUAAUCAACCAUCAAACAUCGCCUACUGCUUCUCAAAUGUGAAAAAUCGGUAAAGAUGGCGGCGUGACAUACUUUGUGAAUAUUUUAUUUAUAUGAGGACAAUUUUUUUUAUCAUAGAUAUUUAAAACAUCGACUGCCUAUGACUAUGAUAAUGAUUUGGCAAUCAUUGGUUUCACUUUAUCAAUAUUAUACAUUUUAUCAUUUUGCACUGUGCAAUUUAAGUCGGGUUCACUAUAUAUUGUGCCGUUACCUAUUUUCGAUAGUAUCCUAAUUUCGAUAGGUUAUUAUUUUUAACGAUCAUUCGAUAAUUGUAAUGUCAUUUUUCGGAAUGUUUUUCCCAAAAUCAGCGUCAGUAACAAGAAGAGUCAGAUAGCCAAAAAGAUCGAGAAUUACGCUUUUCAAAGAGAUAUUUUCCAUCCAGAGAGGAAAUUAUAAGAAUGAUGAUCCAGAGGCCUUGGGCAAUGCUUUCCAGUCGAUAAAAUAUGGAAUGAGUGUCCAUGCUGAAUUGUUACUGCCAAAUGUUUCCAAGUCCCCUAGACAACUUUAAAAUAUGAUAAAUGGGCGUAAUAACAUUGGGUGUGUGUCUUCAGGACCUUCACCACUAUUUAAAAUUGUUUGAAGUUGCUUUAUUUGUUCAUUAUUUAAUGUAAUCAAUUUGGUCGAAAAAAUAAGAAUAAAAGAAUCAUUCUA